GAUCCGAUGAGGAUCCUCUCUCGCUACGAUUGAAAAAGAAACGUGCAAGGUUAUCCAAUCAACCAUUAUUUUAUUUAAAUUUUUUGUGAAGGAAUAUGCCAAAUACAACAAUCUAUACAAAGUCACCAUUUUCUUGAUGUCAUUACUGCUUUAUGAGCUCCACUCUCCCACUCCCACUCCAGUCUGAGUGAUCCACAACAUCUGAGUUUCGGCCAUGGCUGCUUCUUUGCCGGGUCAACUCGUUUCCCUCUUAGAGAACAGGCAGCAGCACGUGUGGGAGGACCAGUCAAUCAUCAAAUGGCGGAAGAGAGACGCCCAUGUCCCUUUACGCUGCCAUGAAUCAGUUGAAGGGUCUCUGAAAUAUUGGUAUGAACGCAACAAAGUGAAUUUUCUGGUAUCCAACUCUGCUGCUUGGAAUGAUGAUGCUGUUCUUGGAGCUCUUGACAGCGCGGCUCUUUGGGUCAAGGGCUUGCCUUUUGUCAAGUCCUUGUCAGGCUAUUGGGGAAAUUUUUCUUGGCUUCCUGUCCUAAAAAUGUUCCCGUAAAUUUUUAUGACUCUGUGUUUCCUGAUAUUCAGUGGGAAACUUUGCCUGGAGUGUAGAAUUGAUAGUUGGCUCGCAUCCAAUCAAGUUCUAGGAACUGAUGGGAAACCAAUAAAAUUUAUCAAGAUAUAUUUAUAUCUGCAACUACCUUUAAGGACCUAUCUCUUUGGGAGUCAGUCUCAGUAGAUCCAAGGAUCCACCACAUUCAACUUUUCUGCUAAAUUGGAAGGCAGGUCUGGGGGAGUUUCUUUGUGAAGUUCUUCCAGUUAUGUUUCUUUUGUGGAUAGAUAGUUCCUUCAAAUUGGCAGAUGCUUGGAUUUGAUCGGCCUAUUUAUACAAAUGUUGUUUAUCCAUUUCCCUGUGGACAAUCCUACCGGCUGUUAUAGGACAUACUUUGACAUUCCUAAAGAAUGGAAUGGUCGCCGGAUUUUUUUGCACUUCGAAGCUGUUGAUUCUGCUUUCUGCGCGUGGGUGAAUGGCAUUCCGAUAGGAUAUGGUCAGGACGGCAGACUUCCUGCUGAAUUUGAAAUCACCGACUACAUUUACCCAUCCAGUACGGACAAGAAAAAUGUAUUAGCUGUUCAAGUUUUCAGAUGGAGUGAUGGCUCUUACCUUGAAGAUCAAGAUCAUUGGUGGUUACCUUGAAGGUAUUCCUUGCAGACUAUUUUUUCAAAUCAACUCUGGCCGAGGACUUCUCUUAUGCAGACAUACAGGCAAG